AUCGAGCUUCACAAGGUGAGGAACAAAGAGAAAAUAGUAGUUUCUGGAAAUAUUCAUCACACUAUAAAAAAAUCUGAUUAAUCAUCUACCCACUCCGUACCGGAAUUGAUUAAAAAUCGCCAAGUCGUCCCCAGCUACUUCUAUGGUUCUACUCCCCCUUCUCGUGAGCCUCGCGCUAUGUGGCCCCUCUCUGAUCGCGGCGAAAGACAUCCUGAUUGACAUUCCAGUCACGUUCAGGUACCAGAAGUCCGGCGAGUUCCUAUCGAGCAGCAUGUACCCCUCCGUCGUUGCGAAGCGGGGUGGCGGGUCGUCUCCCAAUUCUGUUUGGGUGGUCACUUCCAAUCGAACGAUAACGAUGCACGACGGGAAGUCUUGUCUUACGGAUUACCGGGUAGGCGGCCUGGUAACGCUGGCGCCCUGUGAGGCCGGACUGUCCGAGCAGGUCUGGACUUUAAGGAAGUCGGGCAGGGUGGGAAUCGUCGCCAUUGCGAAUAAACGUGGCAAGUGUUUAAGGAGGAUUCCGGGGUAUAACUUUGUCGUGUAUGGGACGUGUGCCGAUUCUAGGGAUUAUGAUUGGAAGGUCGCGUCAUAUCCAUACUAAUGUCAUGGGCAGCAUGAUGACGUGUAUAAUAAUGCGGUCAACUAAUACACAGUUAUAGAAGAGUUGUUAUGUAAUAAAAGUAUUUAUGUAUGUAUGUAAAUAGAUUACGGGGCAUAA